UACGAAGGGGGCUAGCGUUGUUCGGAAUUACUGGGCGUAAAGCGCACGUAGGCGGGUCUGUAAGUAGAGGGUGAAAUCCCAGGGCUCAACCCUGGAACUGCCUUCUAGACUGCAGGCCUGGAGGUCAGGAGAGGCGAGCGGAAUUCCGAGUGUAGAGGUGAAAUUCGUAGAUAUUCGGAGGAACACCAGUGGCGAAGGCGGCUCGCUGGACUGAUACUGACGCUGAGGUGCGAAAGCGUGGGGAGCAAACAGG
rnacentral:rRNA from 1 species